UACGAAGGGGGCUAGCGUUGUCCGGAAUUAUUGGGCGUAAAGAGCUCGUAGGCGGUCUGUCGCGUCCGUUGUGAAAACUCGAGGCUCAACCUCGGGCUUGCAGUGGAUACGGGCAGACUAGAGUGCGGUAGGGGAGACUGGAAUUCCUGGUGUAGCGGUGGAAUGCGCAGAUAUCAGGAGGAACACCGAUGGCGAAGGCAGGUCUCUGGGCCGCAACUGACGCUGAGGAGCGAAAGCAUGGGGAGCGAACAGG
rnacentral:rRNA from 1 species